rnacentral:rRNA from 1 species
CGGCGGGCGGGUGAGUAACACGUGGGUAACCUACCUAUAAGACUGGGACAACUUCGGGAAACCGGAGCUAAUACCGGAUAAGAUAUCGAACCGCAUGGUUCGAUAGUGAAAGAUGGUUUUGCUAUCACUUAUAGAUGGACCCGCGCCGUAUUAGCUAGUUGGUGAGGUAACGGCUCACCAAGGCAACGAUACGUAGCCGACCUGAGAGGGUGAUCGGCCACACUGGAACUGAGACACGGUCCAGACUCCUACGGGAGGCAGCAGUG